UACGGGGGGAGCAAGCGUUGUUCGGAUUUACUGGGCGUAAAGGGCGCGUAGGCGGUCAGCACAAGUCAGUUGUGAAAUCUCCGGGCUUAACUCGGAAAGGUCAACUGAUACUGUGCGACUAGAGUGCGGAAGGGGCAACUGGAAUUCUUGGUGUAGCGGUGAAAUGCGUAGAUAUCAAGAGGAACACCUGCGGCGAAGGCGGCUUUUUGGUCUGUAACUGACGCUGAGGCGCGAAAGCGUGGGGAGCAAACAGG
rnacentral:rRNA from 1 species